UUCAGAACAGAACUUGGGUCACCAUUGCUGUUUAUGCAGCGAGGUCUUCACUCACUGAGCCAUCUCCCCCUACACCCAGGAUUACUCUCAAAGCAUACCUCUAGGUAUGUCUGAAGAGAUGUUUCCAUAGAAGACUGACUUAUGAAAGAGCAGCUAGGAAGCAGAUCCACCCUGAAUAUGGGCAGUACCACCUGUUAUGCUGGGAGCCUGGAAGGAAUAAAAGGGAAAGGAGACAGACAGACAGACAGACAGACUGACUGACAGACAGCACAGGAGAUCUCUCUCAUAUUCUGACUGUUCCAGUCUGCCACACCCUCCUUACCCUGAUGAACCUGACAUCCCCAACACCAUGCAAAACAAACCCUCCCUCUUGAGUUGUUCAUGUCAAGUAUUUCUUCAGAACAACGUGAAGGUAACGGACACAGCCAUGAAGAAAGGCCACCUAAUCAAAGAACCCCUGUAUAAGGAGAAGAUGCUUGAGCUGGAGCAAGACUGGUGAGAAGAGGGUGUGAGAGGGAAAAAUAUCCAGGGGGCUGGGAUUGCAGAAAGCGGCCAUCACAUCCAGUUUAUAUGGUGCUGAGGAUUGAAUCCAGGACCACCUCAGCUCCAUCACCAGCCCUGACUACAUUUUGCUGACUCAUCAGCGGCAGAUGUUUAAACCGUUUCCAAGAUGAACGAUCCUUACAACUUAGCCUUUGCCCACAUCUAGUUUAGUUCCUUCACAUGCAUUCCUGAACUUAGAUGCCAGGUCAAAGAUUAGGAGCCCAGUUUUCUAGGCUUCAGAAUAUAACACAUGCCUCAUCUAGACUCUAUCACUUGAAGAGUCCCUUGUCAUCUGCAGAGUCACUGUUGGACAGCCAGUGAGCUACAAAAUGCUGUGUUUCUCCCCAUGCCUGGAGAUAUUACAAUCGAACCCUCUGAAUCCACCACCCCUCAGGACUCUGCCCUGUUUGGGGUGUCCUCAGUUCUGACGGACAGUGACAAGCCAAACAGAAACGAACACGGUUUACGUGUGCAGAUACCCAUUCCUGGUAACUGCUUCUAGUCUUGUGCUGGUGAAAACACUUGGAAACUAAGAGACUCUGAAUGGACUUGCUUACUUUUUUUUUUAAAGACAGUCCCACUGUGUCGCUCUGGCUGGCCAGUGUAGACCAAACUGACCUGGAUCUCAUCGAGAGUGCUAGGAUCAAAGGUGUGUGCCAACAUGCCCUGGGUCCCUUUUUGUUUGUUUGUUUGGUUGGUUGCUUUUUAAUGCAUGUUUCCACUACCAACCUCUUCAAGGUGGUUUAGAGUCCACAAGAAUCACUUCUCAUAAUAGUGGAAUUUGGACCCACGUUUUCAAGCCCAGAGGACACUAAAUAUCAUCAGGCUCCCGAUCUAUGUAUUUGCAAAUGUGUUAUGGGUCAACUGACUUCUCCAACCUUAGAAAGUGAAGUUGAGGGUAAAUAUAUUUCCUCCAUGUUGCAGUUUUUAAUCUGUAGAGCCAUCAAACUCUUGUGGGGGCCUCCUGGGGACAAUUUCCUCACGCUUCUUCUCUAUUACAUGAGAGGAUCCGGUGGGGAAGGGAGCUGGUGGAUGAACACCAAACUGAAGCAGCAGCUUCUGAGAGUCCUGGAGAGUGUUUACAAAUAGCAUGGUCUCUGCAGCAACCAAGAGCCACAGAUAAGAGAGCCGCCUCCUUGACAGCUGUCUGGGAUCUUUCCCAAGCCUGAAAAACAUUCCCGGGCCAUGGUGACAAGAAUGGCUGACUGUGCCUCCUCGCCCCUGGUCUCUCCUCUUCCUCUACUAGCCUUUCUGGUCUCAGACAAGAGGUCUAACUGGCACACCCAGGAAAACCACCCACUGCCCCACCUGGCUCCCGGUGCCCUCAGUGCCAAUGGGGCUUGCCUUGAUCUUUGCUACACCUUAAGAACAUCAACACUUCAGGAAGAAAGUUUGGGGGCUGCGAAUAAGUGUUCUUCCCUUGAUGCUCAGCUUUCAAGAGGCACCGUAAUAAACUGCAUUCAGUUUUA